rnacentral:rRNA from 1 species
GACGAACGCUGGCGGCGUGCCUAAUACAUGCAAGUAGAACGCUGAAGGAGGAGCUUGCUUCUCCGGAUGAGUUGCGAACGGGUGAGUAACGCGUAGGUAACCUGCCUGGUAGCGGGGGAUAACUAUUGGAAACGAUAGCUAAUACCGCAUAACAGUAGAUGUUGCAUGACAUUUGCUUAAAAGGUGCAAUUGCAUCACUACCAGAUGGACCUGCGUUAUAUUAGCUAGUUGGUGAGGUAGCGGCUCACCAAGGCGACGAUACAUAGCCGACCUGAGAGGGUGAUCGGCCACACUGGGACUGAGACACGGCCCAGACUCCUACGGGAGGCAGCAGUAGGGAAUCUUCGGCAAUGGACGGAAGUCUGACCGAGCAACGCCGCGUGAGUGAAGAAGGUUUUCGGAUCGUAAAGCUCUGUUGUAAGAGAAGAACGAGUGUGAGAGUGGAAAGUUCACACUGUGACGGUAUCUUACCAGAAAGGGACGGCUAACUACGUG